AUUUAUUUUAAUUUUGGGAUAGGUACUAGGACCUCUACAUGGGUCUGGGAUCUCUCGUUUGUGGCUUACUUAUAAGUAUUACUUAUUUAACGGAUUUCUUAUAUCUUCAACGGGGUCUGGAAAGUAUAGUCCGUGUGUUGUGACCCGAUAUCGUUCACUUUCAUUAAGCAUGUCUUAGAUCUGAAAUAUUUUUACGGGAACUAACAC